rnacentral:rRNA from 1 species
CAGUAGCCGCGGGAAUACGUAGGUGGCAAGCGUUGUCCGGAAUUAUUGGGCGUAAAGGGCUCGCAGGCGGUUUCUUAAGUCUGAUGUGAAAGCCCCCGGCUCAACCGGGGAGGGUCAUUGGAAACUGGGAAACUCGAGUGCAGAAGAGGAGAGUGGAAUUCCACGUGUAGCGGUGAAAUGCGUAGAGAUGUGGAGGAACACCAGUGGCGAAGGCGACUCUCUGGUCUGUAACUGACGCUGAGGAGCGAAAGCGUGGGGAGCGAACAGGAUUAGAUACCCCCGUAGUCCCUGUCUCUUAUAC